GCUUCCUUAGCUCAGUCGGUAGAGCGCGAGUCUCAUACGAGGUAUGAGAUUGAUUGACAAUUAUUAUCUCGAGGUCGCAAGUUCGAGCCUUGCAGGGAGCA